GUGAUUGAAAACCUUACGACAUGUGUCAUGGUUUAACUUUAUUCUUGUAAGGCAUAACUUACAAAAAUAAAAUUGAGAAAGGGAAUGGGGAAUGUGUCAAAGCACACAACAACCCGACCAUAGAGCAGACAACAGCCGAAUGCCACCAAUGGGUCUUCAAUGUAGCGAGAAACUCCCGUACCCGUAGGCGUCUGGACCCUUAAAAAAUAUGUAUUCUAGUACAGUGAUAAUGGACGUCACACUAAACUCCAAAUUAAAAACAAGAAACUAAAAUUAAAAAUCAUACAAGACUAACAAAGGCCAUAGGCUCCUGACUUGGGACAGGCGCAAAAUUGCGGCGGGGUUAAACAUGUUAUGAGAUCUCCACCCUCCCCUAUACCUCUAGCCAAUGUAGAAAAUUAAACGCAUAACAAUACGCACAUUAAAAUUCAGUUCAAAAGAAGUCCGAGUCCGAUGUCAGAAGAUGAAC
rnacentral:lncRNA from 1 species